AGAAUUAUCUUUUCAGGACAAAGCUUGGACCUGAGACCUUUCUAAGAAGUCUUGAAUUGACCACGUUUACAAGUUGAUAAUAAGCCUCAGUGAAAUGAGCACUCUUAUGUCUGGAGAAUUUUGUCCCGAAAAUAGAAGUUCUCAAUUUCCAAUGGCUGCAGUUGCCCGCAUUGAUCUCCAAUAUAGUGGUGACAUCCUGCUGAGCUGCUGAUUUGUGCUCCUUGUCUCCUUAGCAGCACUUGGAUGGCCACUGACCCUAAAGUGCCCCCUGUACGUUACUUUCUCUGUUUCCAUGGCUACCCAAACCUCUUUGCAAUAUUAUUUCAAUAAAAAUCAAGUUACAGUUAAAUCA
rnacentral:lncRNA from 1 species